CAGGAUUGCAGUCAAGUAUGACCUCUUCCAUUUCGACAUUUUCUAACUGAGCUACAUCAUAUAAUGCCACAAGGAAAUGUUGUUUUGAAAGACAAAGGAGAGCACUGUGCUGUGAUAUGUUGCUGCGCCAUAACUGGGAGAGGCUCGUUCACUCGGUGAGAGAGCCUCGUUCCAAGGACAUUUCUCGGUGAUACAACAGGAAAUCUUGACACAUACCGACAUGGGGGGAUUUUACUCGAAUGUAUGUAUGUCUAAUAAUAAGUAAAAUAGAAAAAAAA